GACGUAGGGCGCGAGCGUUGUCCGGAUUUAUUGGGCGUAAAGAGCUCGUAGGCGGCUUGUUGCGUCGACCGUGAAAACCCGCGGCUUAACUGUGGGCUUGCGGUCGAUACGGGCGGGCUGGAGUUCGGUAGGGGAGACUGGAAUUCCUGGUGUAGCGGUGAAAUGCGCAGAUAUCAGGAAGAACACCAAUGGCGAAGGCAGCUCUCUGGGACGGUACUGACGCUGAGACGCGAAAGCGUGGGGAGCGAACAGG
rnacentral:rRNA from 1 species